GCCUAGCUGUAAACAAAAAUGGCCCUUUACACGCCAUUCGCCAGGGGACUACGAGCUUCGGCUUGAAACCCAAAGGACUUGGCGGUGCUUUAGACCCCCCUAGAGGAGCCUGUUCUAUAAUCGAUUCUCCCCGCUCAACCUCACCCCUCCUUGUUCGUUCCAGCUCAUAUACCGCCGUCGUCAGCUUACCCUGUGAAGGUCUAAUAGUAAGCUCAAUUGGUAGCGCCCAAAAAGGCAGGUCAACGUGUGGCUUACUGGAGGGGAAAGAAUUGGCUACAUUUGCUGAACCAGCAAAUACGGAUGCUGCACUAAAAAAGCAGCUGAAGGCGGAUUUAGCAGUAAGAGAGGUAAUAGAGUGCCUCUCUGAAGCCGGCCCUGAAGUGCGUACACACCGCCCGUCACCCUCCCUAAAAUUAUAAAAUUAAUAAAUAAUAAGAUAGCCCGAUAUAAGGGGAGGCAAGUCGUAACAUGGUAAGUGUACCGGAAGGUGUGCUUGGAAAAC
rnacentral:rRNA from 1 species